UAUAACGUAGAUAGAUGGUCGAGUGAGCAGUUAAUUGUUUCAGAGCUACUGCAGUUGAAGCAUCAUGAAUUUCUCGAUCUACGCCCUGCUGGUGGUGCUGGUGAUCGCCGUCUGUGUCGGCGUCAGCUCCGUCUCGGCCGACUACGGAGACGACGGAUACUACGGCGGAUACGGAUACGG